CCUACGGGCGGCAGCAGUGAGGAAUAUUGGUCAAUGGUCGGGAGCCUGAACCAGCCAAGCCGCGUGAGGGAGGACGGCACUGAGUAUUGUAAACUUCUUUUAUAAGGGAAUAAAGAGUGGCACGUGUGCCUUGUUGUGUGUACUUGAAGAAUAAGCAUCGGCUAACUCCGUGCCAGCAGCCGCGGUAAUACGGAGGAUACGAGCGUUAUCCGGAUUUAGUGGGUGUAAAGGGAGCGUAGAUGGGCUGGUAAGUCAGGUGUGAAAGGUUGGGGACCAAACGUAAACUGGCAAUUGAUACUGGCAGUCUUGAGUACAGGUGAGGUAGGCGGAAUGCGUGGUGUAGCGGUGAAAUGCGUAGAUAUCACGAAGAACUCCGAUUGCGAAGGCAGCUUACUGGA
rnacentral:rRNA from 1 species